rnacentral:rRNA from 1 species
AUACGUAGGGGGCGAGCGUUGUCCGGAAUGAUUGGGCGUAAAGGGCGCGUAGGCGGCCCGGUAAGUCUGGAGUGAAAGUCCUGUUUUUAAGAUGGGAAUUGCUUUGGAUACUGUCGGGCUUGAGUGCAGGAGAGGUAAGUGGAAUUCCCAGUGUAGCGGUGAAAUGCGUAGAGAUUGGGAGGAACACCAGUGGCGAAGGCGACUUACUGGACUGUAACUGACGCUGAGGCGCGAAAGUGUGGGGAGCAAACAGGAUUAGAUACCCUGGUAGUCCACACUGUAAACGAUGAAUGCUAGGUGUAGGGGGUAUCGACCCCUUCUGUGCCGCAGUCAACACAAUAAGCAUUCCGCCUGGGGAGUACGGCCGCAAGGUUGA